rnacentral:rRNA from 1 species
UACGUAGGGGGCAAGCGUUGUCCGGAAUCAUUGGGCGUAAAGCGCGUGUAGGCGGCUUCGUAAGUCCGUUGUGAAAGUCCAGGGCUCAACCCUGGAAUGCCGAUGGAUACUGCGGAGCUAGAGUCCGGAAGAGGCGAGUGGAAUUCCUGGUGUAGCGGUGAAAUGCGCAGAUAUCAGGAGGAACGCCAAUGGCGAAGGCAGCUCGCUGGGACGGUACUGACGCUGAGACGCGAAAGCGUGGGGAGCAAACAGG